rnacentral:tRNA from 1 species
GGUAGAGCACAACCUUGCCAAGGUUGGGGUCGAGGGUUCGAAUCCCUUCUCCCGCUCCA